rnacentral:lncRNA from 1 species
AUGCACUUGAAAAGUCAUUAUAAGCCUUUCUUUCUUGCUCCCCUCAAAAAGUCAGCAUUUGGUUGGCUCUGUCAUGCCCGGUGCUCGUGUCGUAGGGAUUCUGUGCUGUAUGAAAGCAGCUGUCUCUUUUCUACGUGUCCAGCUCCAAAGAAAGCCGUGGAAAAUUGGACUCCUUUCUUCGCAAAAGCAGCUGAUCGCUUUCAAAAUGCGGUCUCUUGAAAUGUGAAGAUAUGUGACGGGAGCCUCGGGAGAGAAGACAGCAGCCGGCAGGGGGGCUGUGAUCAUUGAGAGGGAGCCUGGACCCAAUCGGACAACCACCAUCCCUCCCACGCCCAGGAGCAAGCUGGCUCUGCAGGACCUUCCUGCCCGCCUGCCUUCUGAAGAUGGAUUGGGGGCAUCACGGUUAAAAAGAAGAAACAUUCGGUCCUGAGAAUGCCACUUGAAAGUCUGUUAAAAAUAAAUGCCGAGGCUCUUUGCUCCUGUAAGUGCCC